rnacentral:tRNA from 1 species
UUAAUUGAAACCAAAAUAGAGGUAUAUCACUGUUAAUGAUACUAAUGAGAAAAUCUCCAAUUAAG